AUUGAACGCUGGCGGCAGGCCUAACACAUGCAAGUCGAGCGAGCGGCGGACGGGUGAGUAAUGUAUGGGGACUGCCCGAUAGAGGGGGAUAACUACUGGAAACGGUAGCUAAUACCGCAUACUAUCGGAUAACCCAUAUGGGAUUAGCUAGUUGGUGAGGUAAUGGCUCACCAAGGCGACGAUCCCUAGCUGGUCUGAGAGGAUGAUCAGCCACACGGGGACUGUGACGCGGCCCAGACUCCUACGGUGGCAGCAGUGGGGAUUAUUGCACAAGUGGCGCAAGGCUGGUGCAGCCAGGCCGCGUGUAUGAGGAAGGCCCUAGGGUUGUAAAGUACUUUCAGUGGGGAGGCGGUACCGACAGAAGAAGCACCGGCUAACUCCGUGCCAGCAGCCGCGGUAAUAC
rnacentral:rRNA from 1 species